GUUAGCGCUAGGGAGUUCAGAAGUUCUUACCAGAGCUUUCCAAGCAAUGAGAUCUGAAAACAUUCUGCAAUUUCUUAAUUUUAAUGUUAGAGUUAUUUAAUCAAAGCUAUUUAUAUCAGAGCUAUUUCUACAAUUGUUGCAGAAUGCUUAAGGUUUUAGACAUAAUUUUCAUCAGAGCUAUUUAAUAAUUUCUCCCCCUUUUUGGCAUAAUCAAAAAGGCAUAAAAAAUAAAAGAAUAAUAAAGAGAAAAAC
rnacentral:lncRNA from 1 species